GGUUGCCUUGGGCUUGUACAGAAGCUAAAACCUAAUGUACAACAUUUCUAACCUACUUCUUUAGUUAGGCUUUAGCUCUCCUUUAAAAAAAUAUUUUAGACCUUUAAAGGAGAACUAAAGCUUAACUAAAGAAUAGGCUUGAUGUGUUGUACAUUAUGUUUUGGGCUUCUGUACCAGCCCAAGGCAACC
rnacentral:pre_miRNA from 1 species